AACAUCUGAAAGAGUCAAACUCGGUCGCUAUGGGAGACAUCAUGAACAAGGGUUUGAUUCUCUCUAUUUGGAUAUUCAAUCACCUAGGUCCUGCUCUGGGUGACUCGGUCCAGUCCAGGGAGCCUGAAGUUUCUAAAUCAGAAGGAAACAUUGUGUCGCUCAGUUGUUCCUAUGAUACCAGCUCUAGUGAUAUCUAUCUGUUCUGGUACCGUCAGUAUCAGCACCAAGCCCCGCAGUACAUUCUCCGGAGAGGAGCGAAGUCCUACAGAGAUCUCAGCGAUACUGCAGGUUUCGCCCAGGAGAGGUUUUCUUCCCAGGCUGGUGACAGCUCCACAGUUCUGAACAUCACAGCCCUGGAGCUGGCAGACACAGCGGUGUAUUACUGCGCCCUGCAACGGGCACAGUGGCAGAGCCACGGAGCAGAGCUGUACAAAAUCCCUCCUCUCCUUGCUGCAGACAGACUUUAA